CCCGUGAGGACGCCCUUUACCCCUACCCCAGGCUUAGGAGCUGGUAUCAGGCGCAACUUUUACGCCCAUAACACCUAGUCCCACCACACCCCCAAGGGUACUCAGCAGUGAUAAACAUUGUCUAUAAGCGCCAGCUUGACCCAGUUAUAAAGAAGAGGGCCGGCCAACUUGGUGCCAGCCGCCGCGGCUAGACCAACUGGACUCAAAUUGAUAAUUCCCGGCGUUAAGCGUGAUUAAAGCCACACACCAAUUAGAGUUAAACCUAUGUUGAGCAGUGAAAAGCACACGAUAGGGAAACCCAGAAACGAAAGUUACUCUAAUCUCUGCUUGAAUACACGACAGCUAGAAAACAAACUGGGAUU
rnacentral:rRNA from 1 species